rnacentral:misc_RNA from 1 species
GAUGAAGAACGUAGCGAAAUGCGAUAAGUAAUGUGAAUUGCAGAAUUCAGUGAAUCAUCGAAUCUUUGAACGCACAUUGCGCCCGCCAGUAUUCUGGCGAGCAUGCCUGUUCGAGCGUCAUUUCAACCAUCAAGCCCCAGGCUUGUGUUGGAGCCCUGCGGCUGCCGCAGCCUCCCAAAACCAGUGGCGGGCUCGCUAUCACACCGAGUGCAGUAGUUUACUCUUCGCUCGGGGCGUGUGGCGGGUGCUAGCCGUGAAACCCCCAACUUCUCAAGGUUGACCUCGGAUCAGGUAGGAAUACCCGCUGAACUUAAGCAUAUCAAUAAGCGGAGGA